rnacentral:rRNA from 1 species
UACGAGGGGGGCGAGCGUUGUUCGGAAUUAUUGGGCGUAAAGGGUGCGUAGGCGGUUUGGUAAGUCUUGUGUGAAAUCUACAGGCUCAACUUGUAGUCUGCACGAGAAACUGCCGGGCUUGAGUGUGGGAGAGGUGAGUGGAAUUCCUGGUGUAGAGGUGAAAUUCGUAGAUAUCAGGAGGAACACCAGUGGCGAAGGCGGCUUUCUGGACGGUAACUGACGCUGAGACGCGAAAGCGUGGGAGCAAACAGG